rnacentral:rRNA from 1 species
UACGUAGGGUGCAAGCGUUGUCCGGAAUUAUUGGGCGUAAAGAGCUCGUAGGCGGUCUGUCGCGUCUGCUGUGAAAACCUAGGGCUUAACUCUGGGCGUGCAGUGGGUACGGGCAGGCUAGAGUGCGGUAGGGGAGACUGGAAUUCCGUGGUGUAAGCGGUGAAAUGCGCAGAUAUCAGGAGGAACACCGGGUGGCGAAGGCGGGUCUCUGGGCCGUAACUGACGCUGAGGAGCGAAAGCAUGGGGAGUGAACAGG